rnacentral:tRNA from 1 species
GUCCUCGUAGCUCAAUGGAUAGAGCGUUUGGUUGCGGUCCAAAAGGUUGCAGGUUCGAUUCCUGCCGGGGACG